rnacentral:rRNA from 1 species
UCGAUGAAGAACGCAGCGAAAUGCGAUAAGUAAUGUGAAUUGCAGAAUUCAGUGAAUCAUCGAAUCUUUGAACGCACCUUGCGCCCCUUGGCUAUUCCGAGGGGCAUGCCUGUUUGAGUAUCAUGAACACCUCAACUCUCAUGGUUCGCCAUGAUGAGCUUGGACUCUGGGGGUUUUGCUGGCCCGCGGUCGGCUCCCCUCAAAUGAAUCAGCCUCCCAGUGUUUGGUGGCAUCACGGGUGUGAUAAAUAUCUACGCUUGCGGUUGUCUGCCAGGUAACCUUUGGUGACAAAGGUUUGCUGGAGCUCACAGAUGUCUCUCCUCGGUGAGGACAGCUUUUUGAACGUUCGAUCUCAAAUCAGGUAGGACUACCCGCUGAACUUAA